rnacentral:lncRNA from 10 species
UCCGGGAGCCCGCGGGCCCAGGAGCUCCUGAGUCGGGGUGACAGCGUCCCGCUGCUGGGAAAGUGGGCGGGGCCGCGCGGGGUAGUCCUAGAUCUGCAGUGUGCGAGUUUGCCGGAUGUGACUGUAACUUCGCUAGCUAAAAUGCUUGAGAGCGGACCCUUCAUCCCUUUGAGCAUGUUUCUUCCUAAAAUGCGCGGAUACCGGGAGAUCAAGAUGAGGGAUGUCAUGUGCCUUGUGAACUGUCACCCGCCGUGCACAGAGUCUCUCUCUAUCCCCCAGGCUGAAGCGCAGUGGCACAAUCUCAGCUGACUGCAACCUCCGCCUCCCGAGUUCAAGCGAUUCUUAUGCCUCAGCCUCCUGAGUAGCUGGGAUUACAGCUGCCUGCCACCACGCCUGGCUAAUUUUUGUAUUUUUAGUAGAGUUGGGGUUUUGCCAUUUUGGCCAGGCUGGUCUCGAACUCCUGACCUCGGGUGAUCCACCCGCCUCGGCCUCCCAAGUACUGGAAUUACAGGCGUGAGCCACCGCACCCGGCCCUCCCCCAACUUAUUUCAGAAUAUUUGAUGCUGUAUUUCCACCAGCCAGAGUUCCCUGAGAGCGGGGGCUACAUCUUGUACCGUAACUGUGAACGAGGCCUAGCAGAGCCUGGUAGAAGUUCCAUGUUUGGUUGAAGGAAUGAAUGUGGUGUGGAUGCCUCUCCUCUUAUCCACUCCUCUCCUCAAUCUGGUUGAUGGGCAGGUGGCGUCCAUUUGUCUGAAGAGGAUAUCUCCAAUUCAUUGCAACUGUUUCAGGAUACCAACUGUUGGGCAGAAGCACAAAUGGGAGCGGGUUGAACCCACUUUCACCUACUGAGCAUAUUCCAUACUGGUCAUCAGAAUGUUUAGAUAGUAUGUUAAUAUGUCAGUUGUUAAGCCUAUGAAGAAUAUAUGUUAAAAGAAGCAAUGUGGCCAGGCAAGCUGGCUCAUGCUUGUAAUCCCAGCGCUUUAAGAGGCUGAGGCAGGAGGAUCCCUUGAGGCCAGGAGUUCAAGACCAGCGUGGGCAACAGGCUUCAAAAAAGAAGAAAUGUAAAAGCAGAGAUGUGAACAAGAGAUAGAGUGCAUCUUUGUUGCUUGGGUGCUCCCCCUGUUGUCCAAUGGCAGAAGCUCCACGUCUUCCUCUGAGGGCUGAAUCUGGUUCUACUUGUGCCCAUUGGAUCCUCUUAUUGAUGAGGGUUACAAAGGCCGAGAUUGGCCUGCCAGAGAGACCCACAGCACCUCUUCAGACUUACUACCUUCUUUCCUUUCCUUCUUUUGACAAAUAUGUAUUGAGCACUCCUAGUCCAGGAAUUGUACCAAAUGCCCAGAAUAUAAAUGAACAAGACAUGGUCCUCAACCACCACCCUAGAGACAGGCAUAAAAAGAACUGACAGUAACAAGCCCCUAAUUUCAUGUAGUAAAUUAUAUCUAAUAAAGUGCCUUCGCUUUUCAUGGAAUCUUCGUAGCAACCAUCUGCAGAAGAGGUAUCAUUAUCCCUGAUGAGAAAUGGAGUCUCAAAGAGUUUAACUUAAAGUGGCUCUCUCUGGGCAAAAACUUCAAAGUUCUUUGGAAAUAAAAUGAGUAAUUCAGUCCCCUACCCUCUAAUUAGAUAGUUUGAUGGGUGUAAAGCUAGAUUAUGCUUGUCAGAACAUACACCAGGGUUUGUCUCUUAGUUACACUGGUCUGAACCCAGGAAUUUCAGGAUAGUGAGGAAUAUAACCAAGCAAAUUACACAGAAAAUGACUGUUCACUUACAGUUAGUUCUGCAUACUGAGAACUCGAGUUCUGAAUGGACUAAAGAUAAAGAAGAAAUACAAGUCUUUAGUUUCGAAUUAGAGAGGUCAUAACUCAGAAUCAAGAAUGCAAGAAUUGUCUUGCAGUAUUUUCUUUUCCCUUUAGCAAACUGCUGCCCAUGAUAUAAAACAGUUACAUCCACUGGAACAAAACAGGAACACUUCUUGUCCCAAAUGCAAACUUUAAUUUAUUUUUAUCUUAUUUUAUUUUAUUUUUGAGACGGAGUCUCGCUCUGUCGCCAGUCGUCAGGCUUGAGUGCAGUGGCGUGAUCUCGGCUCACUGCAACGUCCGCCUCCCAGGUUCAAGUGAUUCUCCUGCCUCAGCCUCCUGUGUAGUUGCCUCAGCAAACUUUAAUUUUCCGUUUUUAUCAUCUGGCUCUCCAGGUAGAAACUACCUUCUUUUCUUUUUGAGAUAGAGUCUCCCUCCAUUGCCCAGGCUGGAGUGCAGUGGCACGAUCUCGACUCACUGCAACCUCUGUCUCGUCUCCCAGGUUCAAGCGAUUCUUGUGCCUCAGCCACCCAAGUAGCUGAGACUACAGGCGCACGCCAUCAUGCCCGGCUAGUUUUUGUAUUUUUUGUAGAGACAUGGUUUUGACAUGUUUCCCCGGUUGGUCUCAAACUCCUGGCCUCAAGUGAUCCACUCGCCUCUGCCUCCCAAAGUGCUAGGAUUACAGGCAUGAGCCACCACGCCCGGCCUGUUGUUGUUUUAAUGUUCUUCCAGUUUUCGUCAAUAACCGCAUAUUUCUUUCGUUCUUUUUUGUUUUGUUUUGUUUUUUGAGACACGGCUAGAGUGCAGUGGCACAAUCACGGCUCACCACAGUCUCCACCUCCUAGGCUCACGAGAUACUCCCACCUCAGCCUCCCCAGUAGCUGAGACUACAGGCUCAUGCCACCAUGCCCAGUUAAUUUUGUUGUUGUUGUACUUUUAGUAGAGACAGUGUUCUGCCCUGUUGCCCAGGCUAGUCACAAACUGCUAGGCUCAAGCAAUCCACACGCCUCAGCCUUCCAAAGUGCUAGGAUUACAAGUGUAAGCCACCAUAUUUCUUUCUUUUUUUUGGAGGCGGGGGCCGGGGAGACAGGGUCUCACUCUGUCGCCCAGGCUGGAGUGCAAUGGCGCGAUCUCAGCUCACCCCAACCUCUGCCUCCCAGGUUCAAGUGAUUCUCCUGCCUCAGCCUCUCAAGUAUCUGGGAUUACAGGCACACACCACUACCACCCAGUUAAUUUUUGUAUUUUUACUAGAGACAGGGUUUCACCAUGUUGUCCAGGCUGGUCUCAAACUCCUGACCACAAAUGACCCACCCGCCUGGGCCUCCCAAAGUACUGUGAGCCACCGUGCCUGGCCCUAGCCACAUAUUUCUUUUGUAAUUCUAAAAAUAUUGUUAUAGAAGUAGGAAAAAAUUUAUCUUGGUUUAUCUCCUGCUGAAAAUGGGCUCUCUCCUGCCUAGGGUUACAGCAAAGUCAAACCUAGAGUCUCUUGAGGCCAGGCAAGGUGGCUUAUGCCUAUAAUCCAGCACUUUGGGGGGCCAAGGUGGGAGGAUUACUUGAGGCCUGGAGUUCAAGACCAGCUUGGGCAACAUAGGCAGACCUCGUCUCUACUAAAAAUAAAUAAAGAAAUAAGUAGUCAGGUGUGGUGAUGUGCACCUGUAGUUCCAGCUACUUGAGAGGCUGAGGAGGGAGAAUUGCUUAAGCCCAGGAGAUGGAGGCUGCAGUGAGCUGUGAUCACACCACUGCACUCCAGCCUGGGCAAGAGAGUGAGCACCCUGUCUCAAAACAACAACAACAACAAACCCUAGAGUUGUUUGUAUGACAGACAAAAUAAUUUUUAAAUGUUUUAUUGAAGUAACAACAUACAAAAAAGUUGUAGAGUAGUACAACCCACUGAAAUUCCACAAACUAACUGGACACUCCCAUCGUAAUCAGCAAUGAGAACAUGGCUAGCAGCCAGGCACAGUGACUCAGGCAUGUAAUCCCAGUAUUUUGGGAGGCCGAAGCAGGCAGAUCACCUGAGGUCAGGAGUUCGAGACCAGCGUGGGCAACAUGGUGAAACCCUGUCCCUACUAAAUACAAAAAUUAGCUGGGCAUGGUGUUGCACGCCUACAGUCCCAGCUACUUGGGAGGCUGAGGCUGGAGAAUGGCUUGAACCCCAGAGGCAGAGGUUGCAGUGAGCUGAGAUUGUGCCACUGCACACAAGCCUGGGUGACAGAGUGAGACUCUCUCUCAAAAAAAAAGGAGUGGGGGGAACAUAUCUAGCACCCCUAGAAGCUUGCCUUAUGUCCUCUUCUAAACCCUCCAGCUUGGGCAACAGAGCAAGACCCUGUAUCUAAAGGAUAGCAGCAUCCUGACUUCUAUCCCUGUAGCUUAGUUUUGCCAGCUUUUAAACUUGAUAUUUAAAUCAUACAGUAUGUACUUGGGCUUCUUUCACUCAGUAUUAUGUUUGUAGAAUUCAUCUAAGUUGUCCUAUGUAAUAAUAGUCCACUCAUUCUUAUUGCUGUAUAGAAUUCCACUGUAUGAAUCUCUGAUUCAUUUAUCUAUCCAAUUGUUGAUGAGCAUUUGGAUAGUUUUCAGCCCGGGGCUGUUAUAAAUAAAGCUAUUACCAACAGCCUCUGGGUGAACAUAUGUUUACUUUUUUUUGUUGUUGUUGUGACAGAGUCUCACUGUGUCACCCAGGCUGGAGUGCAGUGGCACAAUCUUGGCGCACUACAACCUCCACCUCUCAGGUUCAAGCAAUUCUCCUGCCUCAGACUCCCCAGUACCUAGGAUUACAGGGUCUCCCUCUCCCUCUCUUUCCACGGUCUCCCUCUGAUGCCCAGCCGAAGCUAGACUGUACUGCUGCCAUCUCGGCUCACUGCAACCUCCCUGCCUGAUUCUCCUGCCUCAGCCUGCCGAGUGCCUGCGAUUGCGGGCGCGCGCCGCCACGCCUGUGUUUUUUUGGUGGAGACGGGGUUUCGCUGUGUUGGCC